rnacentral:ncRNA from 1 species
UGACCUCAAAUCAGGUAGGACUACCCGCUGAACUUAAGCAUAUCAAUAAGCGGAGGAAAAGAAACUAACAAGGAUUCCCCUAGUAACUGCGAGUGAAGCGGGAAAAGCUCAAAUUUAAAAUCUGGCAGUCUUUGGCUGUCCGAGUUGUAAUCUAGAGAAGUAUUAUCCGCGCUGGACCGUGUACAAGUCUCCUGGAAUGGAGCGUCAUAGAGGGUGAGAAUCCCGUCUUUGACACGGACUGCCAGGGCUUUGUGAUAUGCUCUCGAAGAGUCGAGUGU